GUCAGUUUAUUUCCAGCCAAAUGGCUCACUUAUAUACAAAAUCUGAGCACAGUGACACACCCAAAAUACACCCACAACAUGCCCAAGAAAUACAGUGUAACUAUGACUCAGCAUUAAAAAAAAAUAGACUGGGGCUCACCCAGUAAACAGAGGAUGCAACAGCAUGACUCCACCCACUAACUUUGGCCAGUGUUUGUGACUAAGUGGCUACUAAAAAGGACUAUGCCAUACACUCUCAAAGGCAACGUAACCAAUCUGGCAAACUUCCAUGUGAAAAAACGGCCUUAUAUUUUACCCUGUAACUUUCAAAAACACUAUAAAACUUGUACACGGGGGGUAC